rnacentral:rRNA from 1 species
UACGUAGGGGGCAAGCGUUGUCCGGAAUCAUUGGGCGUAAAGAGCUUGUAGGCGGUCCGUUAAGUCGGCUGUGAAAGUCCAAGGCUCAACCUUGGGAUGCCGGUCGAUACUGCCGGACUAGAGUUCGGAAGAGGCGAGUGGAAUUCCCGGUGUAGCGGUGAAAUGCGCAGAUAUCGGGAGGAACACCUAUGGCGAAGGCAGCUCGCUGGGACGUUACUGACGCUGAGACGCGAAAGCGUGGGGAGCAAACAGG